GCGCCUGCAAAUUCAGGCGCCGGGCUUAGCAUCCUGAAAUUCUCUUGUUGGCGACAUAGCGGCGCAUCUGCGCUUUUCUU
rnacentral:sRNA from 1 species